rnacentral:rRNA from 1 species
UACGUAGGGUGCGAGCGUUAAUCGGAUUUACUGGGCGUAAAGCGUGCGCAGGCGGCCCGUUAAGACAGGUGUGAAAUCCCUGGGCUCAACCUAGGAAUUGCGCUUGUGACUGGCGGGCUCGAGUACGGUAGAGGGGGGUAGAAUUCCAGGUGUAGCAGUGAAAUGUGUAGAGAUCAGGAGGAACACCGAUGGCGAAGGCAGCCCCCUGGGCCUGUACUGACGCUCAUGCACGAAAGCGUGGGGAGCAAACAGG